rnacentral:rRNA from 1 species
CCUACGUGAGGCAGCAGUGGGGAAUAUUGCGCAAUGGGCGAAAGCCUGACGCCGCGACGCCGCGUGAGGGAUGAAGGUCUUCGGAUCGUAAACCUCUGUCAGCAGGGAAGAACGGUCACUGUGCUAAUCAGCAGUGAAUUGACGGUACCUGCAAAGGAAGCACCGGCUAACUCCGUGCCAGCAGCCGCGGUAAUACGGAGGGUGCGAGCGUUAAUCGGAAUUACUGGGCGUAAAGCGCUCGUAGGCGGUAUGUCAAGUCAAGGGUGAAAUCCCCGCGCUCAACGUGGGAACUGCCUUUGAAACUGGCAAACUGGAGUGUGUGAGAGGAUAGUGGAAUUCCAGGUGUAGGAGUGAAAUCCGUAGAUAUCUGGAGGAACAUCAGUGGCGAAGGCGACUAUCUGGCACAUAACUGACGCUGAGGAGCGAAAGCGUGGGUAGCAAACAGGAUUAGAUACCCCAGUAGUC